GUUGUUGGCUGUAGUGUUCUAUGUCAGCCAUCCCUGUGGGGGUGUCAGUGAUGCUUGGACUCCACUAACUGCACCAUUGUCCUACUCCAUCUCCUUUGAGCCUGCUGUCAACCUCUGCACACAUGGCCUCAGCCCCUAGCCCUGGAUGACCACCAUUAGACCCAGCAGAACGGCAGCAGUGGUUUGCUGGCCCAGCACCUAGAGCUGCAGAAUAUGCUCCCUUGACCCUCAGGGAAAGAUGCAGAGCUAGUGAGACUUACUCUCCUCCACCACCAAAGUGAAGGUGAGUUUACCCUCUCCCUCAUCCCAGGAUCCUCCCUGAAUGGGCCGGGAGCUG
rnacentral:lncRNA from 10 species